UUGACAACUAAUAGUGUUUGGCGAAAGGUGCUUUAUUAUAGUAAUGCAUCUAUAGUUAUACCAAGCAUGGUAUCAAUAAGCUACAAUGAACAAAAUGUGAAUAUGAAGCACCUGAACCCCAAUGUGGGUAAUAAUAAAAGUAAUUAGAAAAAAUUAACAAUAAAAAGAAAAAGAAAAAAAAAAAUGUUUUAUAUCAAUUACAUAAUAAAAGUGGCCUGGAACAUGCUCUUCCGCCCAAAACCACAUGGCAAUACAAACCCGGAUGAAGCAUCAAAGGGAAGCAAUUCUUACAAGGCGUCAUCAAUUAUGUACAAUGAGAGUUGCCUCCCAUUGUACGCAAUUGACAACUAAUAGUGUUUGGCGAAAGGUGCUUUAUUAUAGUAAUGCAUAUAUAGUUAUACCAAGCAUGGUAUCAAUAAGCUACAAUGAACAAAAUGUGAAUAUGAAGCACCUGAACCCAAAACGAAGUCGCCAAACACAGGGGUUAAUAAUAUAUACAUAAAAAAUUAAAAAAAAUAAAAAAAACCAACAAAACCCAACAACAUCAAAUCAAGAAUAUAAAAAUACACCGGCGAAAAUACCCUAACACUAACUACCAAUCAAAUAAUUCAUAGCUGACGUAACCCGAUACAUAUCAACACUAGCUUGUCUAAUGUAAGUCUGAAAACAAUCAGAUCUCCAGUCUCCGUGAUGUUUCAAUAAAAUCUCAGGAAUACCAGCCUUGGUGGCUAAUGUAGCCCCUCCGUGUCUCAGCGAAUGAAAAGAAUAAACUGAAGGGUCUAAACCAACAAGAACAAUUAAUUCUCUAAAACGGUUCAACAAAACGGAUCUAGAUAAAGGCAAUAAUUUACCAUGAACACAGGGGUUUCAUUAUCUUUCAUGUUGACUGGUACUUUCCACGUUUCUAGGUGGUACUUUUCAAUUUAUUCCAUGAAUAUCUUAUAUGAAAAUUCCUACAUUUAGGCGGUACUUGUCAAAAGCAUAGGAGGGUAAAAGUACCGGGUACCGCCUCCUAAUGAAUGCCCUGUGAACAGGUAAAGCAAAAACGGGAGCAUUCUUAUCACCAGGUAUUAAAGACACAAGAUGCUUAUAAGCUCGAGCAGGACAUAUUGAUGGCUCAACUGAGCAACACAAGGAAACCUGAUGGGUGUAGUCAUGAUUUUGUCUAGUCUUUGACCAUUUCAAUAAAAGGAGGAUACCCUUUUCACUAACAACAACAUUAUCUCUGAUCAAUUGUUCACGGGAAUUAAAAGAUGUAGAGCUUCUGCUGACCAGGUUUGACGCCCUAAGCAUACCAAAAAAAGCAAACGUUAGAAAACACCAUAAACAAGCAUCUAAAUAAUCAUAAAUAUUCAACAACUUAACAAUAUCAAUUAAAUGUGUAGGUAACAAUGGUAAUUUUGACACAGCCACAUGCUGAUUCUUAUGACUCAAUCCUCUUAAAGUCAAUUUGAAUUCUGUAGAUAAAAAAGGUUCCACAGUAAAACCAAAAAGUUGACUCCAGGUCUUAAUGCCAGAAAUAUAAUUCUUAACAGAUGAAAAACUGCUUAAACUCUUGGAUAGAAAACAUGCAUAAGCACACAAUAUAUCCUUAAUACAAGGAAAUGGUCGAAAUUUAUAAUAAACACAAAAAAUAUGGUAUGCAUUGAGUUGACUCUUCAAAUUUGAAUAAGUACCAGGCCGAAAGGCUGCACCCUUAGCAAGCUUGACCUCUUUCUGCAAAACUGCUCUUCUGGACUUAAGACCUGGAAGUCAUAAACAACAGUAAUUAGAUAAACAACAAUGUCAUAUUAAUUAUCAAAGUUAGUCUUAUCUGACACUAAAUAUGCGCA
rnacentral:lncRNA from 1 species